rnacentral:ribozyme from 1 species
AACAGAAGACAGUUGUAUCAUGGCAUGGGACCCGAAGCCCCUGGAGAGAUAAUACAGACUCUCCCAUCCAACUCCCAUUCCGACACGUCCUCGUCCUCGUGCAGAAUGGUAACAUGUGCCGCCAUAUAUCCUGGCUUGGGCGACUGUG